rnacentral:rRNA from 1 species
UAGAUACAAGCGAGCGGCGGACGGGUGAGUAACACGUGGGUAACCUGCCCAAGAGACUGGGAUAACACCUGGAAACAGAUGCUAAUACCGGAUAACAACACUAGACGCAUGUCUAGAGUUUAAAAGAUGGUUCUGCUAUCACUCUUGGAUGGACCUGCGGUGCAUUAGCUAGUUGGUAAGGUAACGGCUUACCAAGGCAAUGAUGCAUAGCCGAGUUGAGAGACUGAUCGGCCACAUUGGGACUGAGACACGGCCCAAACUCC